ensembl:lncRNA
CGAAUAUGAAUGUCCACUUAAUGUCCAUUAUAAAACUAACUUUAACCUCGCUUUCGCACAAUCGUGUUGAGAUCCUAGCGGCUCGGUGUAAUUUAUAAAUAAACGGAUGUAGAUAUAUUUAAAAUAAUUCAUAGGUGACCCCAGCUAUUUGUUAGACCUGAACAAGUUACUAAACCCUAUAGUGUCAUAUUUUUCCUCCAGACAGCGAAGCAUUCAGAAGACCUCCAUAAACAGGACGUCGGAAGGGUGGUUUCGUAAUGCUGUUCAUCUUUAGUAAUGUCGUAAGGCCAGUUUUCCAUCAUAGAAGUCGGAAAAGCGGUUCGACACGGCCGAAUCAUUUCCCGCUGAUCCUCAAACCGCGCCGUCGCCGGGUCCGGACCCUAAUAAUGGUAACCUAGAGGACGCACCGCAGGGUCAUGGGAGGGUCACUGCCAGCCUUGACAACAGUGAAAUUCAGCAUUUGAAAUCGUAGUCACAGAGGAAGACCGGCAAGUAUACGUUACAGGCAGGAAGAGUGCCCCUACAUCAGGAGAAUCUGAACAACACCCAGUGACACAGAGGACGACAGAGAAAGACCCACCUGUGCCCAGAAUGUGGAAAACACUGCCAAGCAUUAUCAGCACUUCAAAUACACAUAAGAACCCACACAGGAGGCCUCACUACUGCUCCACGUGUGGCAUGAUUUUCAUCCAGAAAGGACAUUUAAAAACGCAUCAGAAAGGAGAUUAUCCUGGUUCUUGGUCCAUUGGUGAGCACGGUCCCUCAGCGUCAGGAGAUCCUGAACACCACCGGGAGAAAGACACAUCCGUCACAUCUCACAGCUGCAAAGUUUGUGGCAAGGAAAAACCUUACUUCCCAGAAACACACAAAAACGAGAUCUCACUCCGGUGAGAAGCGUCUCCUCUGUUCAGUGUGUGGCAAGACUUACCCCAGAGGAUUUGACCUCAAAGUGCACCUCAGGACCCACGCCGGAGAGAAACCCAACAAUGCACCGAGUGUGGGAGGGCCUUCAUCCGCAAGCAGGGGCUCUGGCAGCACUGGCAAACACCCAACACCAAGCCCAUCGGGCCGACUCGGUAGCUAGGCAGACCCAAGCGGUCAAAUCAAAGAAAAUUCUUCACAUGCUAAGUAAGAACUGCAGUGAAUGGUUUCCCAUACCAGCUUAUUCACAAUGACAUGUUAAGCGAUAUAGAUACGAAGACAUUUAACAACAGACCAACUGAUGAAGUGGCUGUGCUGACACUUAACAGACAACAGGCAGCAGAGUAGGAUUAGUGAGCUGUGAUUUGGGAAGAGUGCGUGUGUGUCCUUUGCACCACCCACUGCAUUGAUCUACCUAAUUAAUCCUUUUACUUUUCUUACGGUGCAGUGCAGUGGGUGGGUUUUCCAUGUAUGUCAGCCACGGCUCAAGCAGCCAG